AGCGAACGCUGGCGGCAGGCCUAACACAUGCAAGUCGAACGAAGCCUUCGGGCUUAGUGGCGGACGGGUGAGUAACACGUGGGAACGUACCUUUUGGUUCGGAAUAACGCAGAGAAAUUUGCGCUAAUACCGAAUGAGCCCUUCGGGGGAAAGAUUUAUCGCCGAAAGAUCGGCCCGCGUUGGAUUAGGUAGUUGGUGUGGUAAAGGCGCACCAAGCCUACGAUCCAUAGCUGGUCUGAGAGGAUGAUCAGCCACACUGGGACUGAGACACGGCCCAGACUCAUCCGGGAGGCAGCAGUGGGGAAUCUUGCGCAAUGGGCGAAAGCCUGACGCAGCCAUGCCGCGUGAAUGAUGAAGGUCUUAGGAUUGUAAAAUUCUUUUACCAGGGACGAUAAUGACGGUACCUGGAGAAAAAGCCCCGGCUAACUUCGUGCCAGCCGCCGCCGUAAGAC
rnacentral:rRNA from 1 species